rnacentral:rRNA from 1 species
GAGUUUGAUUAUGGCUCAGAUUGAACGCUGGCGGAAUGCUUUACACAUGCAAGUCGAGCGGCAGCGCGGUCUUCGGACUGGCGGCGAGCGGCGAACGGGUGAGUAAUACAUCGGAACAUGCCCAGUCGUGGGGGAUAACACUUCGAAAGAAGUGCUAAUACCGCAUACGUCCUGAGGGAGAAAGCGGGGGAUCGCAAGACCUCGCGCGAUUGGAGUGGCCGAUGUCAGAUUAGCUAGUUGGUGGGGUAAAGGCCUACCAAGGCAACGAUCUGUAGCUGGUCUGAGAGGAUGAUCAGCCACACUGGGACUGAGACACGGCCCAGACUCCUACGGGAGGCAGCAGUGGGGAAUUUUGGACAAUGGGGGCAACCCUGAUCCAGCCAUUCCGCGUGAGUGAAGAAGGCCUUCGGGUUGUAAAGCUCUUUCGGCAGGAACGAAACGGCGAGCUCUAACAUAGCUCGCUAAUGACGGUACCUGAAGAAGAAGCACCGGCUAACUACGUGCCAGCAGCCGCGGUAAUACGUAGGGUGCGAGCGUUAAUCGGAAUUACUGGGCGUAAAGCGUGCGCAGGCGGUUGUGUAAGACAGGUGUGAAAUCCCCGGGCUUAACCUGGGAACUGCGCUUGUGACUGCACGGCUAGAGUAUGGCAGAGGGGGGUGGAAUUCCACGUGUAGCAGUGAAAUGCGUAGAGAUGUGGAGGAACACCGAUGGCGAAGGCAGCCCCCUGGGCCAAUACUGACGCUCAUGCACGAAAGCGUGGGGAGCAAACAGGAUUAGAUACCCUGGUAGUCCACGCCCUAAACGAUGUCGACUAGGUGUUCGGUGAGGAGACUCAUUGAGUACCGCAGCUAACGCGUGAAGUCGACCGCCUGGGGAGUACGGUCGCAAGAUUAAAACUCAAAGGAAUUGACGGGGACCCGCACAAGCGGUGGAUGAUGUGGAUUAAUUCGAUGCAACGCGAAAACCUUACCUACCCUUGACAUGUACGGAACCCCCGCUGAGAGGUGGGGGGUGCUCGAAAGAGAGCCGUAACCACAGUGCUGCAUGCUGUCGUCAGCUCGUGUCGUGAGAAUGUUGGGUUAAGUCCGCAACGAGCGCAU